AGGAUUCUCUGGCUGGUCUCAUAACAAUCUUUUCUUCUUCUUCUAAGUCAGAUGUUCUGGAGACAGAUCGACCUGGACUGAACUCUCUUUGCGAAGCACUGCUGUUGGUUUUGAGCUGAUUGGAGCAAUAACAAGAGAGAGUCAGACUGCAGAUCUGCAUACUCAAAUGACAGAGAGGAGGGGUUUGAUCUUGUAACCAGUUUCCAAUUGGGUGGUUGGUCCUAGGAAGAUAUGGGACCAUAGCAACUGGAUACUGGAAUCCAUUUUGAACCUGGUAUUUUUCCAUGGAUGGGAAGCAACCCCCUUCUAUCUUUGGCCGAUCUGGGUUCCGGACUGGGUGAAAAUUGACAGGAUAAAGGAUAGAAGGGGCUCUCAGAGUUCUCCUGUGUUGACCCAAGUGCAACACUCUAGGUAAAGGGAGCACUGAUAUCGAUGCACGCAGCCGAAAGUUGAUCAUCACCGACGGAGUGGAGGUCCUGUCAGGGGUGCACCAGGACAACCCCAAGAACUCUGACCGGAGGACACUGAUCGCUGACAGUACAACACUGGCAAUACAACACCUAACAGGUUUUCUGUGACCACACCCUGACACCCAAUUCACUGUUUAUUACGUCAUAUAUGUUGCUUAUUAAUAACUAUUCCUUAUUCUCCUGCUUCAGAGGUUUCAGGCAUCCAGUCAGGGAGUGGAAACAAUACCAUGUGAUUUAGGCCACCAAGUCCACCACCAUUAAUAGAGAAUACAGCUGCUAAAAUGAAUAUGGAACGAUCGUUUUCACCCUGUACAUUCACAAACUAUUCGGCUAAUACGUGGAAAUAACAAAUACAGGAGUUGAAACUAGGAUCAACACAAAACAAAAUAGAGUUUACAUUUAUUUUCUGCUAGCAGA